CUAGCAGUGGAGGAAGCGAAAGGGGAGGAUCGCGAAGGAGUUGGUUGCUAUACAUUGGGCAAAAGGCGAUAACGCUCGCCCCCAGCGCCCCCGCCGUACCUUGCCCAAGGCCGAGAUGGCCUGCGCUGCCAAACCCCCGUGAUGCCGAUAAUCUCACAAGAUAGGGGAUUGCGCUUAUGAGUCUAUUAUCUAUUCAGAAAAAACCCCGAGGAUACGGUGAAAGAAGUCGUAUUGAAACUGCAACAAGCCUUGGAGUUGGAUCCUGAAUGGCAUGCAGCACUAUUGAUCUUGGGGAAUGGCCAUAGUCAGCAAGGGUUCUCCACCCCUAACGAAUAGGUUUUUUUGGGUUGCUUGAGAAGGCAACUUAGUGCUUCGAGCAGGCUGUGAAAUUGGCGCCCAAGGAUAGUGAUCUGAAGUAUGAUAUAGAUCACAUCCUCCUCCAAGAUAAUAUAUGUAAAGAUGUAGAGCUACUGACCUCCUAGUGAGAGGAACAUUCUGUGAUACAUAACAGAUCAACCAGACUAUACAACUUUAUAAAUCAUUGUAAUGAACUAUUUUUUUAAAAAAGGUCUACAUCAUUUUGAGAGCGUGGAA